AACGAACGCUGGCGGCAUGCCUAACACAUGCAAGUCGAACGAGACCUUCGGGUCUAGUGGCGCACGGGUGCGUAACGCGUGGGAACCUGCCCUUAGGUUCGGAAUAACUCCCCGACAGGGGUGCUAAUACCGGAUAAUGUCUUCGGACCAAAGAUUUAUCGCCUUUGGAUGGGCCCGCGUUGGAUUAGCUAGUUGGUAGGGUAAAAGCCUACCAAGGCGACGAUCCAUAGCUGGUCUGAGAGGAUGAUCAGCCACACUGGGACUGAGACACGGCCCAGACUCCUACGGGAGGCAGCAGUGGGGAAUAUUGGACAAGGGGCGAAAGCCUGAUCCAGCAAUGCCGCGGGAGUGAUGAAGGCCUUAGGGUUGUAAAGCUCUUUUACCCGGGAUGAUAAUGACAGUACCGGGAGAAUAAGCGCCGGCUAACUCCGUG
rnacentral:rRNA from 1 species